GGAGUCUGGGCCGUGUCUCAGUCCCAAUGUGGCCGUUCAACCUCUCAGUCCGGCUACUGAUCGUCGCCAUGGUGGGCCGUUACCUCACCAUCUAGCUAAUCAGACGCGAGCCCAUCUUUGAGUGAUAAAUCUUUGGUAGUAUCACCAUGCGGUAUUACUACGUUAUGAGGUAUUACCAUCCGUUUCCAGAAGCUAUCCCUCUCUCAAAGGCAGGUUGCUCACGUGUUACUCACCCGUCCGCCACUAAGAAUGUUUAAGUAAACUCAAACAUUCUCCGUUCGACUUGCAUGUGUUAAGCGUGCCGCCAGCGUCGUCCUCGAGCCAGGAUCAAACUACU
rnacentral:rRNA from 1 species